UACGGAGGAUGCGAGCGUUAUCCGGAUUUAUUGGGUUUAAAGGGUGCGCAGGCGGCGAGUUAAGUCAGCGGUAAAAUUUCGGGGCCCAACCCCGACAAGCCGUUGAAACUGGCUUGCUAGAGUGGGCGAGAAGUAUGCGGAAUGCGUGGUGUAGCGGUGAAAUGCAUAGAUAUCACGCAGAACUCCGAUUGCGAAGGCAGCAUACCGGCGCCCAACUGACGCUCUGGCACGAAAGCGUGGGUAUCGAACAGG
rnacentral:rRNA from 1 species